UACGUAGGUGGCGAGCGUUGUCCGGAUUUACUGGGUGUAAAGGGCGUGUAGGCGGGAAUGCAAGUCAGAUGUGAAAUUCCACGGCUCAACUGUGGGGCUGCAUCUGAAACUGUGUUUCUUGAGUGCUGGAGAGGAAAGCGGAAUUCCUAGUGUAGCGGUGAAAUGCGUAGAUAUUAGGAGGAACACCAGUGGCGAAGGCGGCUUUCUGGACAGUAACUGACGCUGAGGCGCGAAAGCGUGGGGAGCAAACAGG
rnacentral:rRNA from 1 species